UGCGAUGGUUAGGUAAACUCAAGGGUGGUCAGCGUUACCCCGUAUGAAAGGGGGUGAUGCUUACAGAUGACAGUAUUUCAAAGUUUAAUGCUAAUGAUUGCAUUUGCUAGUUUGGUGUUGUCAAUCGUAUCGUUUAUAGACAAAAAUAAAUAACCCACCCUUGAGCUUAACCGGCGAUAGGUGAGUUAUCUUUAAACCUCGCUGAUCCCCUUGAUGGGAACCUAGCUAUUGUAUGACUGUUUGGUGUUCCAGCACCAAAC
rnacentral:sRNA from 1 species